rnacentral:rRNA from 1 species
UACGUAGGUGGCAAGCGUUGUCCGGAAUUAUUGGGCGUAAAGCGCGCGCAGGCGGUUAUGUAAGUCUGAUGUUAAAGCCCGGGGCUCAACCUCGGUUCGCAUUGGAAACUGUGUAACUUGAGUGCAGAAGAGGAAAGUGGUAUUCCACGUGUAGCGGUGAAAUGCGUAGAUAUGUGGAGGAACACCAGUGGCGAAGGAGACUUUCGGGUCUGUAACUGACGAUGAGGCGCGAAAGCGUGGGGAGCAAACAGG